UGGGGAAUAUUGCGCAAAUGGGGGGAACCCUGACGCAGCAACGCCGCGUGAAAGGAUGAAGGCUUUCGGGUUGNAAACUUCUUUGAUGAAGGGACGAAAGAAAUGACGGUACCUCAAAAACAAGCCACGGCUAACUACGUGCCAGCAGCCGCGGUAAUACGUAGGUGGCGAGCGUUGUCCGGAAUUACUGGGUGUAAAGGGCGUGUAGGCGGGGAUGCAAGUCAGAUGUGAAAUGCCGGGGCUUAACUCCGGAGCUGCAUCUGAAACUGUGUUUCUUGAGUGUCGGAGAGGAAAAGCGGAAUUCCCAGUGUAGCGGUGAAAUGCGUAGAUAUUGGGAGGAACACCAGUGGCGAAGGCGGCUUUCUGGACGAUAACUGACGCUGAGGCGCGAAAGCGUGGGGAGCAAAACAGGAUUAGAUACCCUGGUAGUCCACGCUGUAAACGAUGGAUACUAGGUGUAGGAGGUAUCGACCCCUUUCUGUGCCGGAGUUAACACAAUAAGUAUCCCACCUGGGGGAGUACGGCCGCAAGGUUG
rnacentral:rRNA from 1 species